AUUGAACGCUGGCGGCAGGCCUAACACAUGCAAGUCGAACGGUAACAGGAAGAAGCUUGCUUCUUUGCUGACGAGUGGCGGACGGGUGGGCAAUGACUGUGACACUGCCUGAUGGAGGGGGAUAACUACUGGAAACUGUUGCUAAUACCGCAUAACGUCGCAAGACCAAGGAGCGUGGCCCUUGGGCCUCUUGCCUUCGGCUGUGCCCAGUUGGGAUUAGCUAGUAGGUGGGGUAACGGCUCACCUAGGCGACGAUCCCUAGCUGGUCUGAGAGGAUGACCAGCCACACUGGAACUGAGACACGGUCCAGACUCCUACGGGAGGCAGCAGUGGGGAAUAUUGGACAAUGGGCGCAAGCCUGAUGCAGCCAUGCCGCGUGUAUGAAGAAGGCCUUCGGAUUGUAAAGUACUUUCAGCGGGGAGGAAGGGAGGAAAGUUAAUACCUUGGCGUAUUGACGUUACCCGCAGAAGAAGCACCGGCUAACUCCGUG
rnacentral:rRNA from 1 species